AUGAACGCUGGCGGCGUGCUUAACACAUGCAAGUCGAACGGACGAUGAAGAGCUUGCUUUUCAGAGUUAGUGGCGGACGGGUGAGUAACGCGUGGGUAACCUGCCUCAUACAGGGGGAUAGCAGCUGGAAACGGCUGAUAAAACCGCAUAAGCGCACAGCAUCGCAUGAUGCAGUGUGAAAAACUCCGGUGGUAUGAGAUGGACCCGCGUCUGAUUAGCUGGUUGGUGAGGUAACGGCCCACCAAGGCGACGAUCAGUAGCCGGCCUGAGAGGGUGACCGGCCACAUUGGGACUGAGACACGGCCCAAACUCCUACGGGAGGCAGCAGUGGGGAAUAUUGCACAAUGGGGGAAACCCUGAUGCAGCGACGCCGCGUGAAGGAAGAAGUAUCUCGGUAUGUAAACUUCUAUCAGCAGGGAAGAUAAUGACGGUACCUGACUAAGAAGCCCCGGCUAACUACGUGCCAGCAGCCGCGGUAAUACGUAGGGGGCAAGCGUUAUCCGGAUUUACUGGGUGUAAAGGGAGCGUAGGCGGCGGAGCAAGUCAGAAGUGAAAGCCCGGGGCUCAACCCCGGUACUGCAUUGGAAACUGUCGUACUAGAGUGUCGGAGGGGUAAGCGGAAUUCCUAGUGUAGCGGUGAAAUGCGUAGAUAUUAGGAGGAACACCAGUGGCGAAGGCGGCUUACUGGACUGACAAUGACGCUGAGGCUCGAAAGCGUGGGGAGCAAACAGGAUUAGAUACCCUGGUAGUCCACACCGUAAACGAUGGAUACUAGGUGUAGGGGAUAUUAAGUCUUCUGUGCCGUCGCAAACGCAGUAAGUAUCCCACCUGGGGAGUACGGCCGCAAGGUUGAAACUCAAUGGAAUUGACGGGGGCCCGCACAAGCAGUGGAGUAUGUGGUUUAAUUCGACGCAACGCGAAGAACCUUACCAAGUCUUGACAUCCCUUGACGAUGCUGGAAACAGUAUUUUCCUUCGGGACGCAGAGACAGGUGGUGCAUGGUUGUCGUCAGCUCGUGUCGUGAGAUGUUGGGUUAAGUCCCGCAACGAGCGCAACCCCUAUGUUCAGUAGCCAGCAGGUAGAGCUGGGCACUCUGGACAGACUGCCGGGGAUAACCCGGAGGAAGGCGGGGAUGACGUCAAAUCAUCAUGCCCCUUACGGCCUGGGCUACACACGUGCUACAAUGGCGUAAACAAAGGGAAGCGAGAGGGUGACCUGGAGCGAAUCCCAAAAAUAACGUCCCAGUUCGGACUGUAGUCUGCAACCCGACUACACGAAGCUGGAAUCGCUAGUAAUCGCGAAUCAGCAUGUCGCGGUGAAUACGUUCCCGGGUCUUGUACACACCGCCCGUCACACCAUGGGAGUUGGAAAUGCCCGAAGUCAGUGACCUAACCGCAAGGGAGGAGCUGCCGAAGGUGGAGCCGAUGACUGGGGUG
rnacentral:rRNA from 1 species